rnacentral:rRNA from 1 species
CCUACGGGAGGCAGCAGUGGGGAAUAUUGGACAAUGGGGGCAACCCUGAUCCAGCCAUGCCGCGUGAGUGAUGAAGGCCUUCGGGUUGUAAAGCUCUUUUGGCGGGGACGAUGAUGACGGUACCCGCAGAAUAAGCCCCGGCUAACUUCGUGCCAGCAGCCGCGGUAAGACGAAGGGGGCUAGCGUUGUUCGGAAUUACUGGGCGUAAAGCGAGUGUAGGCGGUUGCCCAAGUCAGGUGUGAAAGCCUUGAGCUCAACUCAAGAAAUGCACUUGGUACUGGGUGGCUAGAGGACCGGAGAGGAUAGUGGAAUUCCCAGUGGAGUGGUGAAAUACGUAGAGAUUGGGAAGAACACCAGUGGCGAAGGCGGCUAUCUGGACGGUUACUGACGCUAAGACUCGAAAGCGUGGGGAGCAAACAGGAUUAGAUACCCUGGUAGUC